rnacentral:rRNA from 1 species
GGAGUUAGCCGGUGCUUCUUCUGUGAGUGAUGUCCUUCCUGCCGGCUAUUAACCCGCAGGCCUUCUUCCUCACUGAAAGUGCUUUACAACCCGAAGGCCUUCUUCACACACGCGGCAUGGCUGGAUCAGGGUUGCCCCCAUUGUCCAAUAUUCCCCACUGCUGCCUCCCGUAGGAGUCUGGGCCGUGUCUCAGUCCCAGUGUGGCUGAUCAUCCUCUCAGACCAGCUACGGAUCGUCGCCUUGGUGAGCCGUUACCUCACCAACCAGCUAAUCCGACAUAGGCUCAUCCGAUAGCGCGAGGCCCGAAGGUCCCCCGCUUUCCCCCGUAGGGCGUAUGCGGUAUUAGCCUGGGUUUCCCCAGGUUAUCCCCCACUACCGGGCAGAUUCCUAUGCAUUACUCACCCGUCCGCCGCUCGCCACCAGGGAGCAAGCUCCCCGUGCUGCCGCUCGACUUGCAUGUGUUAGGCCUGCCGCCAGCGUUCAUCUGACGCAGAUCAACUCUGA